rnacentral:rRNA from 1 species
AACGAACGCUGGCGGCAGGCCUCAAACAUGCAAGUCUAGGGGGUGUAGCAAUACAUCACCGGCGGACGGGUGCGUAACGCGUGGGAAUAUACCUAUCGAUUCGGAACAACUGAGGGAAACUUCAGCUAAUACCGAAUACGUCCUAACGGAGAAAGAUUUAUCGUCGAUAGAUUAGCCCGCGUUCGAUUAGCUAGUUGGUGGGGUAACGGCCCACCAAGGCGACGAUCGAUAGCUGUUCUGAGAGGAAGAUCAGCCACACUGGGACUGAGACACGGCCCAGACUCCUACGGGAGGCAGCAGUUGGGAAUCUUGGACAAUGGGGGAAACCCUGAUCCAGCCAUGCCGCGUGAGUGAUGAAGGCCUUCGGGUUGGUAAAACUCUUUCGCGCACGACGAUAAUGACGGUAGUGCGAGAAGAAGACUCCGGCUAACUUCGUGCCAGCAGCCGCGUAAU